UACAGAGGGUGCAAGCGUUGUUCGGAAUUAUUGGGCGUAAAGGGCGCGUAGGCGGUGCGGUAAGUCUGUAGUGAAAUCUCUGGGCUCAACUCAGAGUCUGCUAUAGAAACUGCCGUGCUAGAGUGUGGGAGAGGUGAGUGGAAUUCCCGGUGUAGCGGUGAAAUGCGUAGAGAUCGGGAGGAACACCUGCGGCGAAGGCGGCGACCUGGGCCAAUAUUGACGCUGAGGUGCGAAAGCGUGGGGAGCAAACAGG
rnacentral:rRNA from 1 species